GGAAGCGGGCCAAGCCGAGGCAGCCGCGUGGGUUUCCCCGUGCAUCUUUUACUCCAGAUCAAACAAUCAAACAGACAACAUGAAACAUGGAGCACUGCUACUUAUUCCACUCAUCGCUGCCUUUUUUUGGCGGAAAGAGCUGAACAAGCUGCAAUUAUUCAGGCGGCGUCUCUGCAGACGUGCUGGAAGUGGCGUUCUUUCAUCUGGGUGCUCGGUGCAACUCGCUCUCAAGCACCUGCUGCGGCGGGGAUGCAUCUGGCUGACACGCGGCUUAAGGAAAAGGAGGGAUCGUCCGUCACACGCGUGGUUCUUCCAUGAAGACCACGUCUGAGCAGACCUCUGGACCUGGUCCCGCAGCUUUCUGCCACUUCUGAGCUGAUGGCACAGUGAGACAUUGUCAGAUAUUUGAAGGGAAAUAAGCAUGAUGUGUCUUUUAUCUGCCACACUGAGUUUCCUUGGCCGACCACUGUGUCUACGGUCCUCAGCUUUUCUUUGUGCUUCUUCAAAAAAGCUUGAAACCGCAGUCUGCUUUGAAACCUUUGUCUGGGAGAGACCUUUCUGAAGUAGCACAACUGCCUUGUGUCUUGCUGCUGUUCUCAGCCUUGGUAGCAGAGUCUGGCUGUUCCUCACUCAAUUUGAAGCCUCCUACUCAGCUGUUUCUCUUUCUGUUAAUGACCUUGCUGCAACCUACAUCAUCAUUAGCACCUGUUUGGUAUUUGGUUUGUCCCAAAAAAAACCAGACUUUGUGCAAGUUUACUGAUAAAGAUCGAUGCCUGUUUGAGUGAUCACACCAAAUAUCGAUUUCAUUUAGAUUUUUCUUCUGUUACUGUUUGGUAAAUUGAUAAAAAAAAAAAGUAAAGCAUUCUUACUUUACACUAGAGCUGAGUCUGAUGGGACUGCCAUUAAUAGUGUUUGGACUUUAUGAAUCCGCCAUGAUGACCCGGGUUAGUUAAGGAUCAAGGAUCCUUUUACAGAGAAUCAAACUGGACGCACAAAGGACUGUGGGUACUUUUAGCUGCGGUGAGGAGACACACCAUGCAUCCUUGUAAAUUCAUAGUCCUUUGACUGAUGACAUCACGUCCUUGAAAUUCAACCUUUUGAGGAUCCUUUCUUAAAUCGGAGAAGCAACACGGAAUAGACCACAUUUGAAUGAGAGGGUGGAGCUCAGGAAGAAGCAAGGCCUGGAUCGUACCAACUGAUCCUACUGAGCCACGGCCUCAAGCGCAUCCUGCUUUACAUCAUCUAAUUUAACAUUUAAUUGUUCCAUCCAACAUCAUGUGGGAUCUGAGAGUCGCAAUAAGACCAAGAAGUCCUGAGAAGAAUGUUUACUGAUGACA